rnacentral:lncRNA from 1 species
CUCUGUUUCUAGUGUUCACUUCCACCUUCCACCCUUUCACUAUGAAGGACCCUCACCAGAUGGUGGCACCAUGCUCUCGGACUUCCCAGCCUCCAGAACUGGACGGGUAAAUUGAAGCAAAAAGCAGACAAGUUCUAUGGGAUUUGCUGGCAUUGAUUUCCCAGGAUGGCAAAGUGCUAAGAACUAAACCUUUAAAGCUAACAAAAUGUACUGAUGUCUUUGCAAAGUAUCCAAGACCAACAAGAAAGUAAUUUCCCACCUCACCCUACCACCACCCAGAAAAGGAGCACAGAGAUGGGGAAGAGAGUGGCUGCAUCUGGCAUCCAGCCAGAGGAGUCCGUGCAGGGAUUCUGGAUCCCUCUUCCCCCACCCCACUGCCCUUCCCCCUCCACCCCAGCGUUUUGGAGAAGCAAGAAACUGUGAUGAUGCAGCUCCCUCAAGUAUCACAUGAAGAUAGUGGAAAGAGCCUCCUGAGGUAAAUAUGCCAUGUAGACAGAAACAAGCAAUGGCUCAACAGCAAUGUAUGAGGUCCAAGGACCAGGACCAAAGGGAAAAACAGCCAUCUCACCAGACACCUGCCUACGACCAGAUGCGUCAUCUCCAAUAUUAGCUAACUCCCUGGAACCUGGACUCAAGGUGUGAAAUAAAGGUUAAUGGGAAACCGCAGGAGUCAAAAGGAGGGGGCAGGAUUAUUGAGGAUUCAGGCUGUUGAGAAAUGAAAGUUUGGAUCACUCCCCAGAUAAAGAACCUUGACCAUUUAAGGGCAAUGGAAAUACAGAAUAGGCAGUAGAAGAAGGAAGCCAUAGAUACCAACUAUGGCCUCUCAAUCAAUUACAAAACUGAGAAUUCUGACAGUUUUGUGUAUUUCCUCUUUGCAUGUGAUGUAUAUGUGUGUAUUUGUAUAUAUUAACCAUUUUCCUUUUUCUCUCUUCAUUAUUUUAUGAAAGUUGUUGAAUAUAAACUCUACAAUUUAGCCUUUAGGUAAGAGAAUAUUCAGUGGGACUUUGAUUUGAGGAGUAUUUAAGACAGCCAGAUGAGACUACGAUAACUGUUGGAACUGUGUGUCUCCUCAUUUGGGGAAAGGGGUGAGAACUCUGCAUUUCUCUGAAGAACAGAGUUGACUUUGUGUUAUACAGAGUUCAAAUAUAUAUAUAAAAUGGUGCAUGUGGAAGCUAAGAAGCCAAAGGAGUUCACCAAGACAGUUAUCAAUAUAUUGCCUCUCCGCUCCAAAUCCACCCUUCUUUGCCCUGUUCCACGAUACUAAUCUGGCUCCUCGGUCAGCCAGUGCAAUGUCAUCUGUUGCUGGUAGAGUGUAGGGGAGACACUACAAGGUAUAGUAAAGGGGUCAGAUGCGGUGUCUCAUGCCUGUAAUCACAGCCCUUUGGGAGGCAGAGGCAGGAGGAUCACCUGAGGCCAGGAGUUUGAGACCAGCCUGGACAACAUGGUAAAACCCCAUCUCUACUGAAAAUACAAAAUUAGCACGCACCUGUAAUCCCAGCUACUCGGGAGGCUGAGGCAGGAGAAUCACUUGAACCUGGGAGGUGGAGGUUGCAGUGAGCCAAGAUCGCAUCAUUGCACUCCAGCCAGGGAAAAAAGGCAAAACUCUGUCUCAAAAAAAUAAAUAAAUAAAAUAAAAUAAAACAAGGUAUAGCAAAUAAAGGAGCAUUCCUUCUUGAUUCUUCCUGGUUCUUGUUACCUGUGGCCGCCACCAGUGGUGUAUGGGAGAGUCACCCUACAGUGAGUUCCACCAGCACCUAGUGAGGGCUUCCUACUGAGUUUUAUUGUCACCCGAGCAGGCAAUUUCCUUGCCAGCAGUAUGCAGGAGACCCAAUGGUGACCACCUUCCAGUGGGUUUUUCCAGCACCCUAGAAGGCACUUUUUUGACCACAGUGCUGAUCCACUGGCACCCAACAGCCAGUACCCUACUCACCAGGCCUGGCCUGUGGCACCUCAAAGAACUUUUCUAUCCUGCGGGCCACAGCACCACCCUCUCCAACAAGGUCUGAAUCUCAGCCUUCAGGUGUGAAAGACCCUUCCAUGUUUGUUCUUUUCUUGGGUAUCCUCCCUCAGUCCUAGAAGUAGCAGCUCUUCCCUAUGUUUGCUAUUUCUGUGUUAUUUAGCAUACAAUUUACCCCUUUUGUAGUUUAUCACAUUUUGCCAGUUAAUAAUUCUUUAUAGUAAAUGUUCCCUCUUCAAAUUACUAUCUCUCACCAAACACUGACUUCUAUAUCCUCAUCAGACACUGAGUGACACAACCUCCUUCAGAAAAGAAUCCCUUUCACCCUGCCCUUCAUGAUGAACACUCUCAACAAAUUAGGUAUAGCAGGAACAUACCUUGACAUAAUAAAGGCCAUAUAUGACGAGCCCACAGCUAACAUCAUACUGAAUGGGGAAUAACUGAAAGCCUUUCCUCUAAGAACUAGAAUAAGACAAGGACACCUACUCUAAGCACUCUUAUUCGGCAUUAUACUGGAAGUCCUAGCCAGACUUUCUCUUUCCGGAAAGAGAAAGAAAUGAAAGGCAUCCAAACUGGAAAACAGGAUGCCAGCCAGUUGUGGUGGCUCAAGCCUGUAAUCCCAGCACUUCGGGAGGCUGAGGUGGGCAGAUUGCUUGAACCCAGGAGUUCAAAUCCAGACUAGACAACAUGAUGAAACCCUGUCUCUAUGAAAAAUACAAAAAUUAGCCAGGUGUGGUGGCACACACCUGUAGUCCCAACUACUCAGGAGGCUGAGGUGGGAGGAUCACUUGAGCCUGGGAAAUAGAGGAUGCAGUGAGUCAAGAUCACACCAGAGCACUCCAGCCUGGAUGACAGAGAGAGAUUCCAAUUCAAAAAAAAAAAAAAGGAAGAAGCCAAAUUGUCUCUACUUCAGAUGACAUGAUUUUACAAAUUCAGUAAUGUUACAAGACACAAAAUCAAUAUAAAAAAUCGGUUGUGUUUUUAUACACCAAUAACCAACUAUCUGAAAAAGAAACCAAGAAAGCAACCUCAUUUAUAACUUCAAAAAAGUCUCAGGGAUAAAUUUAGCCAAGGAGGUGAAAGAUUUCUAUGAAAGCCAAAACAAAACAAAACAAAAAACACUACACCCUGAUGAACAAAAUUGAAGAGGAUACCAAAAAUAGAAAGACAUAUUAUGCUCAUGAAUUGGAACAAUUAAUAUUGUUAAAAAUGACUAUACUACCCAAGGUAAGCUAUAGAUUUAAUGCAAUUCCUAUCAAGAUACUAAUGACAUUCUUUGAAUCAAUAGAAAAAACAAUCCUAGAAUUCACAUAGAACCAUAGAAGAGCCCAAAUAGCAGCAAUACUCAGCAAAAAGAACAAAGCUGAAGGCAAUCACACUAACACAUUUCAGAAUAUACUACAAAGCUAUAGCAACCAAAACACUAUGCUAUUGGUAUAAAAACAGAUACACAGACCAGUGGAACAGAACAGAGAAUCCAGAAAUAAAUUCACAUAUUUACAGCCAGCCAAUUUUUGACAAAGUUGCCAGGAACAUACACUGAGGAAAGGACAUUCUUUUCAAUAAAUUGUGCUAAGAAAACUGGAUAUUCACAUGCAGAAGAAUGAAACUAGACCUCUAUCUCUCACAAUGUAUAAAAAUCAAUUCAAAAUGGAUUAAAGACUUAAAUACAAGACCUGAAACUAUAAAACUACUAAAAGAAAACAUAGAGGAAAUGCUUCAAGAUAUUGAUCUAGGCAAAGAUUUUAUGGCUAAGAUCUCAAAAGCAGGGGCAACCAAAACAAAAAUAGACAAAUGGAACGACAUUAAACUAAAAAGCUUCUGCGCAGGAAAGGAAACAAUCAACAGAGUGAAGAGAUAACAUGAACAAUGGAGAAAAAAUUGCUAACUAUUCAUCCAACAAGGGACUAAUAUCCAGAAUAUACAUAGAACUCAAAACAAUUCGACAGCAAAGAAUCAAAUAAUCUCACUAAAAAGUGAGCAAAGGACAUGAAUAGACAUUUCUAAAAAGACAAAUGGCUAACAGGUUUAGGAAAAACUGCUCAACAUCACGGAUCAUCAGGAAAAUACAGAUCAAAACCACAAUGAGAUACCAUCUCACCCCAGUUAGAAUGGUUAUUAUCAAAGUCAAAAAAUAACACAUGCUGGUGAUUAUGUGGAGAAAAGGGAACUCUUUAUGCAUUGUUGGGAAUGUAGAUUAGUACAACGACUAUGGAAAACAGUAUGAAAGUGUCUUUAAAAACUAAAAAUAGAACUACCAUCUGACCCAGCAAUCCCACUACUGUCUCUCUGUCCAAAGGAAAGGAAAUCAAUAAAUCAAAGGGACAACUGUACCCCCAUAUUUAUUGCUGCUCUAUUCACAACAGCCAAGGUAUGAAAUCAACCUAAGUGUCCAUCAACAGAUGAAUGAAUAAAGAAAAUAUGGUAUAUAUACACAACAAAAUACUAUUCAGCCAUUAAAAAUGAAAUCUCAUCAUAUGCGGCAACAGGGAUGGAAUUGCAAGUCAUUAUGUUUAGUGAAAUAAACCAGGCACAGAAAAACAAGUAUCACAUGUUCCCACUCAUAUGUGGGAGCUAAAAAGUUGACCUCAUGGAGGUAGGGAAUAGAAUGAUAGAUACCAGAGGCUGGGAAAGGGCUGGGGGGAUGAGGACAGAUUGGUUAAUGGGUACAAACAUACAGUUAUGUGGAAGAAAUAAGUUCUAGUGUUUAAUAGCACAAUAGAGUGUCUAUAGUUAACAAAAAAUAUAUUGCAUAUUUCAAAAUAGCUGAAAGAGAAGUUCUGAAAUGUUCCAAACACAAAGAAAUAAAUGCUUGAGGUAAUGGAUUUUCUAAAUAUGCUGAUUUGAUCAUUAUAUACUGUAUGCAUGUAUCAAACUAUCACAUGUACCUGAUACAUAGCAAUAUUAUGUAUUAAUAAAAAUUAAUAAAUAAUAAGUAAUAAACUUUAAAAAUAAUGUCCUUUAGAAAAGUUCUAAUUUUUUCCACAAAAAUUGAUAGUGUUAAAAAAUUAUAGCACCUCAAAAAAGACCUUUCACAAAAUAGAUGCUCAAAAAAUUCAUUGAAUUUUUGCCAAAUAAUUAUAAUUGUAAAAUUUUCCUUUUUACAAGGCUGUGAAGAAAUUGGAAUCCUCAUGCCAUACUUACUGGUGAGAUUGUAAGAUGAUGCAGUCACUUUGCAAACAGUCUGGGAAUUCCUCAAAAUAUUAAACAUAGAGUCACCCUAUGACCCAGUAAUUCUAUUUCUAGAUAUGUACCCAAAAGAAAUGGAAACAUAAUGCCACACUAAAACUUGUUCACAAAUGUUCAUGGCAGCAUUGUUCAUAGUAGCCAAAAAGUGAAAACCAUCCAAAUAUUCAUCAAGUGAUGAAUGGAUAAAUAAAGAUGUGGAAUACACAUACAAUGGAAUAUUACUCAGCUAUAAAAGGGAAAGACACUUACAAAUGCUACAUGAUAAAUGUGAAAGCAUUAUACUAAGUGAAAGAAGCCAGAGCCAGUCACAAAAUACCACAUAUCGUAUGAUGCCAUUUAUAGGAAAUGUCUAGAAUAGACAAGUCUAUGAGGACAGAAAGUUGUUUAGUGGUUGCCUAGGACUGAGGGUACAGGGUGGCAAGAGGGAGCUGCCAGGAAUGCAACAUGCUAAUGAAUAUGAAGUUUCUUUUGGGGUUCUAACAUGUUCUAGAAUUAGAUGGUGGUGAUGUUUGCACAACUCUGUGGUUAUACUAAAUAAAUGAACUGUACACUUUAAAUAUAUCUAAAUGUAUGUAAAUUAUAUCAUAAUGUCUGGGUUUUAUUAAUUGCCUUUUAAAUGUGGCUUUAGUUCUGUCUGUAUACUUCAUGAAAUGUAUCAAAGUAAUGCUAAAAUAAAACCAAUAAUUAAACCCAAUGAAUCACAA